UGAGCCUCCACUGAUCUCCCAGAGUGAAGACUAAGACUCAGCAUAUAUGCUUCCAGUCAGAUCCAGAACAUAACAUUUAACUUCCUUCAGUCAGCCUCAAGAUUUCAGGUUUUCAUUUGAACACUGCAACUGAAGAAGAAUAAUAUGAUCACUGCAACUGUCCUGAAGAUGUAAAAUAUAGCCAAAAAGAAUACAGAAUCACAUCUACUACCAACAGGUCCAAAUAUCAAGCUUUCUGCUAGACCAGUUAUGAAAAUAUGAGUGUUUCUUAGAUUUAUGUAAA
rnacentral:lncRNA from 1 species